ensembl:snRNA U1 U1 spliceosomal RNA
AUAAUUACUUGGCAAGGGAUACCAUGAUCAUGAAGGUGGUUUUCCCAUAGGGAGACUCAUUCAUUGCACUGUGGGUGUGCUGACCCCUGCUAUUUCCCCAAAUGCUGGAAACUCAACUGCAUAAUUUAUGGUGGUUGGGGACUGCAUUUGUGCUUUCCCCUG